rnacentral:rRNA from 1 species
GCUUAGCCCUAAACAUAAAUGAUUCUUUAACAAAAUUAUUUGCCAGAGAACUACUAGCCAACGCUUAAAACUCAAAGGACUUGGCGGUGCUUUAUAUCCAUCUAGAGGAGCCUGUUCUAUAAUCGAUAAACCCCGUUCCACCUUACCAACUCUUGCUAUUUCAGCUUAUAUACCGCCAUCUUAAGUAAACCCUCAAAAGGAUACAUAGUGAGCGAAAAAACAAACAUAAAGACGUUAGGUCAAGGUGUAGCCUAUGAGUUGGAAAGCAAUGGGCUACAUUUUCUUAAAAAGAACAUUAACGAUGUCUUUCAUGAAAUUUUAAAGAUCAAGGAGGAUUUAGUAGUAAAUUAAGAAUAGAGUGCUUAAUUG